rnacentral:lncRNA from 1 species
GCAUUUUCGAUUCAAACAACAACAGAGAUGAUAUGCACACCUUUGUCCAUUAUCUGAAUCCCUGAGCUAUUCAUGGACCAUUUGAGGGGCGCCUACUCCAUACUGCGGUGCUCAACAGUGAUGCUGUACAGAGGAGAAAAAAACUAGGAAGUCUUCCCACGAUUUAAAUAUGAGUGGAAGGUGGGAUUGGUUUCCGUGUGAUCCUCCUGUCCCAGCUGCUCAUGGGACUGGACACUGCUUCUAGCUAGCAGUUAAUCUGCUUGAGGAUGAAACUGUCCACACACACUGGAUGGCUUCAGGCGAUCUUCCUGGGCUCACUUGGGAAAACGUGUGUCUAGGAGGCAGCAGAGGGAAGAGAUGGAUCUAAAAGGCUGGAGAUGCUUCCUAGGAUGGUGGCCCAGAUGAUGACAUGGGUUUGGAUUCCUUCCAUGAACAAAUGAAGCAGAAGAAAGCCUGUAUAGAGGAAGGAGUGGGGAAGCCUGGAAAUUUCCAAGUUUUGUUACUUGUUUCUUUUCAAGGCAUGUCUGUCUUUUCACUCUUUAAAUUCUUGAAGCAUUUCUCUAUCCUUCAAAUAACCACUUGUUGACAACAGAAAAAGACAGUGGGAGAAACCAAAGCACAGCUAUGACCAUUAUCUGCCCGCCCUUCAAGCUCUUACUACUUUUAUGAAAACUCAGAUCGCAUCAGCCCAUGAGAUACUGUCCCCUAGUUCCUGUAAAUGCUUACUACAUUUCCACUCACCUCUCUCGUCUCACUGUUCUCCCAGCAUGAGUUAUCUUCAUACAGAUCUGAGUGAAACCAUGCUUUUAAAACUCAUUCAUGGGUCCCAGUGCACCGAGCCUUUGCAGAUAAGACCUUCAAUGAAUAGUUAGAGUGAGACUAGGCUGAGUCAGGUUCACUAGUGAUUGAAUCUAAUAAAAUAGAACAUGGCUGUGUAGUAAAAAGUAAAGCAAGAUGCUAAAAUUAGCAUUAGGAGUAAUUCUCGAUUAUCCGCUGGUAUAGAAACAGUUUGAAGUGACAACCUCUCCUGAGAGUGAGUAAGCCAGGAUUAGCUAUCUCAAGAAGUUACAAUGUGUGACAUACUUAACGAAUUAAUUGAUUGCUGAGUACAGGAUGUAUGCUACGUAAUUUGGCUAUACAGAACCUACUCUAAGCUUCAUGUGUUAACAAUGAUCUAUACUAAGCACUUCCAUAUUUACAUCACCCGGAGGAAGAAGUAACUUCUUGUAGGAGUUCACUUUGGGGAAAAUCUGCUGUGGCAAGCAUUGCUGUAAGAGCGACCUGGGGAUUGUCUUUGAGGUCUAGCUUAGUAUGAAGCAAGGGCAUGCUUUGACAUCUUAGACAGGCCAAUUUAAUAGUAGAUCACAUUUGUCAAAAAAACACAUAGGUUUGCAGUUGAAGUUUGGAUAGAAGGCCAAUCUAUUGCAUGGUGUUAGACUUCAGCCAUCAAUAAUCGUCCUUUGACUCCCUAACCCCAUUAGUGACUCCCAAAGCAGACCAUUUGUAAUGAACUGACUUACAACGUAGCAACUUCUUUUCUAGUGUGAACAAUGCUGCCCUAUAAACCAAACAGUUGGCAAGGGGUAAUAGGAGGAGACACCUACAAGGGUAGCACACUCAGGUCACAGGAUCAUCCAGGGUCUGUUGUCAAAUGAACCCGUGCCUACUUUUCAUACAGGGGAAAACCAAGUGAGCAAGCAUAGAGGAAUUGCUCGUUUUUCUCUUUAAAACUUAUUACUGUGAUGUUUACCUUGGAGGCCUGAAAAAGGUGUCAGAUCCCCUGGAGCUUCUCAUACAAAUGGCUGUGAGUUCUGGAAAUGAAAUUCAGGUCCACUGGAAGAGCAGCACAUAUUCUUCAUCAUUAAGACAUCUCUUCAGCUGCUGUUUCUAUUUUUCAGUGAAUAAAAACUAUAACUUUUAAAGAGUGUAUGCUUUUACAGAGCAUCAAUCUAAGCCGAGUAAUGAGAGUACUAGAUUUUAGAUUCCUGGUACAUUAAAUAUGACCCUUAUUCUGUGUGGUAAAUUUAUCCUUCGAUUUGUACUUAUAAUUUUAAAAGCAUAUAUAAGCAUCGCAUAGUCCUGAGAACUAGGUUGGUAUUGUUUGCCUAUUUGUCUGGGAAUAAUAUGAAUGAAGAAAACAUGUUUGUACUUAUUUUAAGUGCUGAGAAUUUUGAAUUGUUGAAUCAGUUUUCCCAAGAAUCUUGAAAAUGAACAGUCAUGAUUUGACUGUAACAUAUCCACAGGGCAGUUCAAGGUCUUCACUACAUUCUGAGGCUUUUUGCAACUUAGUCAUGCUGGGAAUUAAAGUUGCCGUGGUUUUCUUUCUUGAUAUUUCCACUUGAUCAGCUAUCAGAUAUGAAGACUCCAUGUCCUGUUUCCUUCUAGCCUACAGCAGCCAGGGCUCCUGCUUCUCCUCAUGAGUAUGCUUCCUCUGUGUCAUGAAUCUGAAGAUGUUACUGGCAUGUCACUUACCCAUAGGGAAUCUAUGCAUAUAAUUUCGGGAAUUUCCCACAAAACCACUUCUUACUUCUCUAAAUUGAUCAAAAGAACCAUUAGAAUUAGUCUUUUCCUUUCUUUGCAGGGAGCUCAAGACUUUGCACAUGUGAGGAAAGUACUCUAUCAGAGAACUACAUCGGCAUCCCCAAUAAAGACCUUUUAAUCAGACUCUUUACAACCAUAGUGUUGUAGUAAUUCUAAAGUUCUACGGAAAAUAACAAGAUGAAUGCAUAAAGUUUCUGUCUACACCUAACUUACAUUCCCAAACUUUUAGGAUUUUGAUAUUUUAUUUUUUAUCUUCCUGACUUUCUCUGAUUACUUAUAUUGGUGUCCUGUACUUUUUCUAAACCACUUAAGAGUUUGUCUCAUUACACUUCUUUUUACCUCUCGGAAGGGUGAGAAUUUUCCAAACCUGAGUAACCAUUUUCUUAUGCAACCACGUGGUAUGAUUAUCAAACGUGGGACAUUUCCCAUUGAUGAAAUUGUUGUAGUAAAUAUUUAAAAUCCUGCCCUGAGGUUUCUACCCUACCUUUUAUGAUUUAUGUUCCUGGAUGAAAGGCACACUCACAGCCUGUAUAAUAAACCCUAAACAGCACAAUAGCUGGGCAGCUGCCUAUCUUCCAAGUUCUUAGAAUCUACUUUCCUAUCGAUAACCUCAAGUUAUUAUUUACUAUCUGCUGGGUUCUAUUUGGGCUACUCUUAACAACAAUUGGGCAGCUCUCAGGCCACGCUCUCUUAACUCAUGGUGAUGGCACCUCCCUCCUCUCCUGCACAUUUUUCUUCUCCUUCUCCUGACCUCAUGCCUAGGAAACCUAGACCCUUCUGCCCAGUCAUUGGCCAUCGACAUCUUUAUUUACCAAUCAGAAUUAACUUGGGGCUUUGGCUAUUCAUACUUUCCAGUUAUCCCAAUGAAGUGACGUGUAAGUUUUAUGCUCUCCCUCCCAUCCAGGUGCUAAGGUAACACCAUGGGUUGCACUUAGCUGUCGUGACCAUUUGAUCUCUGUUGCUCUAGAACCAUUCUUUUAUCUUUUCUUUGCUUUUCACACUGAAGCCAAUGGCUUUUCAUUUAGGUCUGCUGAUGUCUCCUAACACAUCUCUGGCCAGAACAAUGCAUAUGGAUGUGUGAUCUUCUCAUAUGUCCCUGGAAUAAGCUGUACACCCUUCUUUCAUGAUUGUAAUCCUGUUCACUUGACCCUAGUUGUCCAUUUUCUUCACUCUGGAGUUUCUGAGUUGCUCUUUGAAAGCAGAAUGCAGCCUACUUGGAGACUUCCUAAACCCAUCCAAGGACCCUGCUCUUCAUCACAGUUCUCUUCUCAUCUUGAGUCUAAUCAAGCUGUGCCACAGGGCUUGUGCCACCUUCCACCACCACCCCAGCUCCCCCACACUCUUUCC